rnacentral:lncRNA from 1 species
GUGGAGAAUAUCAAUGUACCAUUUUUUUAUUUUGAUGAAAAUAUAAAGUUCUAUACCUUUUGCAUGCUUGUUUUUGUUUUAUCGAUAUCGGCAAGGUGAUUCUAAGUUUUGGAUUCUGGCUCGAUAGUUUUAUUUGAUAAAGCUAUUGAUUUAUAAGAUUUUAAAAUUUUAAAAAUUACUUUCUACUGUAUGGCUAAAAUUUAAUAGUAGUAUCAGAGUAACUCUUAUCUGAUUCGAUCAAAUAAGUACAAUAUAGUAGCAUAGAAUCGUUCUUAUUCAUAUCUUGCCAAAAAUGUUGCAUUAUUUUUAGCAUCGAUUCUUCAAACUCAAAAAUUAUUUUUGACUUUUAGUAAAUCAUGAUUUUAAAUUUCAAUUGUUAAAAUUAUGAAUUUAUGAUAAUUUAAAAUUUUAAUAUUAUGAUAGCAUGAUGCUUAA